rnacentral:rRNA from 1 species
GUCCUACGGGGGGCAGCAGUAGGGAAUAUUGGUCAAUGGAUGGAAGUCUGAACCAGCCAUGCCGCGUGCAGGAAGAAGGCCUUCUGGGUUGUAAACUGCUUUUGCCAGGGGAUAAAAUGGCUUUGCGAAGCUAAUUGAAGGUACCUGGUGAAUAAGCCACGGCUAACUACGUGCCAGCAGCCGCGGUAAUACGUAGGUGGCAAGCGUUGUCCGGAUUUAUUGGGUUUAAAGGGUGCGUAGGCGGCCCUGUAAGUCAGUGCUGAAAUAUCCCGGCUUAACCGGGAGGGUGGCAUUGAUACUGCAGGGCUUGAGUGGAGUCGAGGUAGGCGGAAUUGACGGUGUAGCGGUGAAAUGCUUAGAUAUCGUCAAGAACACCGAUAGUGAAGACAGCUUACCAGGCUUCUACUGACGCUGAGGCACGAAAGUGUGGGGAUCAAACAGGAUUAGAUACCCUUGUAGUC